CCUACGGGAGGCAGCAGUGAGGAAUAUUGGUCAAUGGGCGUAAGCCUGAACCAGCCAAGUCGCGUGAGGGAUGACGGUUCUAUGGAUCGUAAACCUCUUUUAUAAGGGAAUAAAGUGUGGGACGUGUCCUGUUUUGUAUGUACCUUAUGCAUAAGGAUCGGCUAACUCCGUGCCAGCAGCCGCGGUAAUACGGAGGAUCCGAGCGUUAUCCGGAUUUAUUGGGUUUAAAGGGUGCGUCGGCGGCCUUUUAAGUCAGCGGUGAAAGUCUGUGGCUCAACCAUAGAAGUGCCGUUGAAACUGGGAGGCUUGAGUAUGUUUGAGGCAGGCGGAAUGCGUGGUGUAGCGGUGAAAUGCUUAGAUAUCACGCAGAACCCCGAUUGCGAAGGCAGCCUGCCAAGCCAUGACUGACGCUGAUGCACGAAAGCGUGGGGAUCAAACAGGAUUAGAUACCCCAGUAGUC
rnacentral:rRNA from 1 species